rnacentral:lncRNA from 1 species
GAUGGGCUUUCUUUGUUUAAGUCAUCUCUUUAGGCUUUUGACCAGAACCAACACUUUUUUCCAGAUUUUUCCCAUUCUCAACUUUUCUAAUAAUGCUGUUAACCACUGGUUUCAAACUGGCGGCCCGCGAAACAAUUUUGUAUUUUGUUUUUUUAUACUCUACCUACAACCUGAAAAAUUUAUAUACCUGCCAAGAAUGGAACCAGGAACCUUUCGCGUGUAAUAUAGACACGAUGACCAUUAAACCGUCUAAUUCUAUUCUAAACAAUUCGUACGUUAUUCCCAUUGCUUUUAGGCAGCGAAAUUUAAUCAAAUUUGGUGUAACUGGAGUCUGAAACUGUUCCUCUUUCCCAAUCUCAGGAAUGUCAACUAUACAACCGAUCAGACAUCCGGUUCCUGGUGACUCUGGAACCGGAUCUGAAAACACGUGCAAUAUACCACCUCUAGAUUGCGUAUUAAAUAAUUAUAUACUGCAUAUAUUCUGUAUACAAAUGUUGAUUAAAUUAAAUAUUUACUUAGAUGAUAAAAAUCGAUAUUCUUCAUUUGUCGUUUUGAUUUAGAAAUUCGUUAUUUUUUUAUUUUUGAAGCAAAAUCACGCCAUUUUUUCGUAAGAAUUAUCUUGCUCUUAAGAUAUAUGUGUUGGUAGCAGUCUUCGAUAUUAUUAAGCGCAUUCUUUCCUUCCGAGCGACAUAUUCUUUUUCGCUUUUCUCUAUUGUGGUAUGGAUGGACGACAGAGUGGACGGUUAAAGCGAGACCGGAUAAGAGAGAGAGUCUACUGUAUUUGCAAAUAAUUUCUAGACGUUACGUAGUUAGAAAGCUUGGAGAAGUCGUAUAUUCGAUAUUAUUUCUCAGAUAGAUAGACAUCCUUUUUUUUUUUUUUUUUUUUUUACUGGAGCCUAUAUUGGACAUAUUUAAAGAAUAGUAAAUUAGCGAUGACAUCUUUUAUCAUUAAACGUUCU